rnacentral:piRNA from 1 species
UUUUGCAUCACUUUUAGUGUGAUUCUUUUGU